rnacentral:rRNA from 1 species
GGUGAGUAACGCGUGAGUAACCUGCCUUACACAAGGGGAUAGCCGUUGGAAACGACUAAUAAUACCCUAUGAAACUAUCACUUCGCAUGAAGCGAUAGUCAAAGUGUUAGCGGUGUAAGAUGGACUUGCGUCUGAUUAGCUAGUUGGUGAGAAAAAGCCCACCAAGGCAACGAUCAGUAGCCGGCUUGAGAGAGUGUACGGCCACAUUGGGACUGAGACACGGCCCAG